rnacentral:pre_miRNA from 1 species
CAGUGAUUACAUGUGUCGUGGUAGGCAUCCUUAGAGUCGUAGGCCUCUGUGUGGAAUUCAAGAUAGUUCACAGUCGUUUUGAACACACAUCACAGGAGCCUACGACUCUGAAGAUACCUAUCUCGGGACAAAUUUCUG